rnacentral:rRNA from 1 species
UACGUAGGGUCCGAGCGUUAAUCGGAAUUACUGGGCGUAAAGCGUGCGCAGGCGGUUUUGUAAGCCAGAUGUGAAAUCCCCGGGCUUAACCUGGGAAUGGCAUUUGGGACUGCAAAGCUGGAGUACGGCAGAGGGAGGUGGAAUUCCACGUGUAGCAGUGAAAUGCGUAGAGAUGUGGAGGAACACCGAUGGCGAAGGCAGCCUCCUGGGCCAACACUGACGCUCAUGCACGAAAGCGUGGGGAGCAAACAGG